rnacentral:pre_miRNA from 1 species
GUUGGGAAGAGGACGAAAAGAGGGUCUGAGAGCGUUGGGUAUGGGAACAUGGAGGAAGCCUGGACUCUUCUUUUCCUCUAAAACUAGAGGUUGAGAUUUGUUUCACAUGUUUUUCCGAUGCCUCCCAUGCCUAUUGUUCUCAGAUGUUCCUUCCUCUUCCUUUUGGCU